UGGCGGCGUGCCUAACACAUGCAAGUCGAGCGGAGUCGGUAAGAGGAAGUUUCGGAUGGAAUCUUAUUGAUUUAGCGGCGGACGGGUGAGUAACGCGUGAGCGACCAACCUUGCACAGGGGGAUAACGGACCGAAAGGUUCACUAAUACCGCAUGAGACCACGGUGUUGCAUGACACAGAGGUCAAAGGAGCAAUCCGGUGCAAGACGGGCUCGCGUCCGAUUAGGUAGUUGAGGGGUAACGGCCCACCAAGCCUAUGAUCGGUAGCCGACCUGAGAGGGUGAUCGGCCACAUUGGAACUGAGAUACGGUCCAAACUCCUACGGGAGGCAGCAGUGGGGAAUAUUGGGGCCAAUGGGGGAAACCCUGACCCAGCAACGCCGCGUGAAGGAAGAAGGUUUUCGGAUUGUAAACUUCUGUCCUUGGUGAAGAGAAGAAGACGGUAGCCAAGGAGGAAGCCCCGGCUAACUACGUGCCAGCCGCCGC
rnacentral:rRNA from 1 species